AUGAUCAGCCAGCCCCUGACUCAUCUCCUGCGUAAAAAUAUUCCAUUUGUGUGGUCUUCUGAAGCUCAGUCUGCAUUUGAUCAACUGAAGCGAGCCCUCACAACAACACCUGUAGUGUCACUCCCUAAUUUUCAGAAACAGAUCGUAAUUGACACUGACGCUUGCGAUACCGAAGUGGGUGCGGUACUACUUUAG
rnacentral:rRNA from 1 species